rnacentral:tRNA from 1 species
GGGGAUGCACCUCAGUGGUAGAGCACUUGACUACCCUUCAUGAGACCCUGAGUUUAAUUCUCAGUACCACCA